GCUUGCUCCUGGAUUCAGCGGCGGACGGGUGAGUAAUGCCUAGGAAUCUGCCUGGUAGUGGGGGAUAACGUCCGGAAACGGGCGCUAAUACCGCAUACGUCCUGAGGGAGAAAGUGGGGGAUCUUCGGACCUCACGCUAUCAGAUGAGCCUAGGUCGGAUUAGCUAGUUGGUGGGGUAAAGGCCUACCAAGGCGACGAUCCGUAACUGGUCUGAGAGGAUGAUCAGUCACACUGGAACUGAGACACGGUCCAGACUCCUACGGGAGGCAGCAGUGGGGAAUAUUGGACAAUGGGCGAAAGCCUGAUCCAGCCAUGCCGCGUGUGUGAAGAAGGUCUUCGGAUUGUAAAGCACUUUAAGUUGGGAGGAAGGGCAGUAAGUUAAUACCUUGCUGUUUUGACGUUACCAACAGAAUAAGCACCGGCUAACUUCGUGCCAGCAGCCGCGGUAAUACGAAGGGUGCAAGCGUUAAUCGGAAUUACUGGGCGUAAAGCGCGCGUAGGUGGUUCAGCAAGUUGGAUGUGAAAUCCUCGGGCUCAACCUGGGAACUGCAUCCAAAACUACUGAGCUAGAGUACGGUAGAGGGUGGUGGAAUUUCCUGUGUAGCGGUGAAAUGCGUAGAUAUAGGAAGGAACACCAGUGGCGAAGGCGACCACCUGGACUGAUACUGACACUGAGGUGCGAAAGCGUGGGGAGCAAACAGGAUUAGAUACCCUGGUAGUCCACGCCGUAAACGAUGUCGACUAGCCGUUGGGAUCCUUGAGAUCUUAGUGGCGCAGCUAACGCGAUAAGUCGACCGCCUGGGGAG
rnacentral:rRNA from 1 species